GCAGCACGGGUGCUUGCACCUGGUGGCGAGUGGCGAACGGGUGAGUAAUACAUCGGAACAUGUCCUGUAGUGGGGGAUAGCCCGGCGAAAGCCGGAUUAAUACCGCAUACGAUCUAUGGAUGAAAGCGGGGGACCUUCGGGCCUCGCGCUAUAGGGUUGGCCGAUGGCUGAUUAGCUAGUUGGUGGGGUAAAGGCCUACCAAGGCGACGAUCAGUAGCUGGUCUGAGAGGACGACCAGCCACACUGGGACUGAGACACGGCCCAGACUCCUACGGGAGGCAGCAGUGGGGAAUUUUGGACAAUGGGCGAAAGCCUGAUCCAGCAAUGCCGCGUGUGUGAAGAAGGCCUUCGGGUUGUAAAGCACUUUUGUCCGGAAAGAAAUCCUUGGCUCUAAUACAGUCGGGGGAUGACGGUACCGGAAGAAUAAGCACCGGCUAACUACGUGCCAGCAGCCGCGGUAAUACGUAGGGUGCAAGCGUUAAUCGGAAUUACUGGGCGUAAAGCGUGCGCAGGCGGUUUGCUAAGACCGAUGUGAAAUCCCCGGGCUCAACCUGGGAACUGCAUUGGUGACUGGCAGGCUAGAGUAUGGCAGAGGGGGGUAGAAUUCCACGUGUAGCAGUGAAAUGCGUAGAGAUGUGGAGGAAUACCGAUGGC
rnacentral:rRNA from 1 species